GUGAGCGUCGGGAGCGGGAGCCAAAGCCGUCUGGGGCUGAAAGGCGGGACUUCCUGCUUCGCUUACCUUCCUAGUCUUUUGUUUCAUAGCAACAGAGUAGUGGCUGGAAGGGUGUUGCUUCUCUACUCUGGGCGGGUCCAAAGCUGGAGAAAUUCAUCUCCCUAGGGCUGCCAAACCCUUCUACCCAGGACAGCAGCCAAACAGGUCUAUGACGUUGCUUUUUGUUGGCUAUCAAAAAAGAGCGACAGCCACCGAGCUUCUAAAAUGCAAAAUAAACCUCACAGACAGGAGGCUAGGGGUGACACCUCACUGCCAACUAGAACUGCCUAAGUUUCUGAGUGUUUCUCCUUUGCUGUUAGUUUUAGAGGGAUUGCAGACCAAACAUCAGGCUGACGACAAAGCAAAUAGUUGACAACGCUGGCCAAAUAGUCUCUGCUAAUCAUGCCAGAGCAAUAAAAGUACCAGGUGGACUUUCCGCAAGCAUGGAAGUGAUCUUUCUCCUUGGCUCUCCAAUAAGAUUGUCACUAGCCACAUAACACAGAUGUGAUGGCUGGCAGCGUAGGAUCAAGCUUGCAACCAUGAUGAAAGACUGCAUGUUUAAGAUGGUGGGAGCAGAAAAACAGCAGCCUGGGGAUCUGACAUCACGAAUAUGCUGCACCAUUCUGGACCACUACCCUCAGCUAACUUAUGAUAUGAGAAAAGUGGGUAACCUACAUGAUUAAGCACCUAUAGGUUGUGUUCUCUGUUGAAUGUAAUAAAAUACAAACCUAAUUCAAAACUCUGUACAACUACAAGCAUUAUGAGCCUUGAUCUUUAAUUAUUUGGCUGGUAAGAGCAAUAAUACAAUGUAAGAUAACAAUAUGUAAAAAUGGAAAAGGAAAAUAAUAUGUGUGUGUUAAAUAUCUUCUAGUAUAAGUUAUAACUUCAGCAAUUUUGAAAAUUUAUAGUCAUUCUAAAAUAAUGUGUCUUUAAUGACCACAGGCAGGCCGCUAAUUCGUCAGGUAAAUAGUUAACUUGUUCCUAAUUUGCUUGUCAAAUCCAAAGCAGACUGACAGAAAUCAUUAAAGUCCCUGGGCUAAAUUAUUCAAAUUAGAAGUGUUGGUGUAUAAAGAAAAUUGACAUUUUACUCGGUUUGGUAAUUAUCCCUUCACAUGAUAGAAACAUACAACAAUUGAAUUUUUAGUGUGUGUUACAAACAGCAUUUGAAAACAUUUACUAAUCAACAAAUUUAUAUAUGAAAAAAGUGGGAUUGACUAUAAAAAGGAAAAUUAAUUAUUGUUUCAUGAUACAUUCAACAUUACCUUUUAAAAUAAAAUAUUUAUUUUGUGAUCUACUACCUUUUGAUAUUGUAUGUAAGUAAAAAUUAUCAUUUCUAAUGAAAAUUAGAAUAAGAUUCAAUUUCUACCAUAAGAAAGUCCUUUUAUAAAAAAUAUUCUGGAACAGCUCCUGUGCCUAUUUCCUCAUGUAUAAUAUACUUACAAGAAUAUUUCUUAGCCCAUAGGGUUGUCGAAUUAUAUAUAUUAAGCAUAUCAAAGAAUAUAUUAUCUGUCUCAAAGUAACCAAAUAUUAAUAAAAUAUUGUUAUUAUCAUUGCUGGGAAGGUAGAUAUGAUGAUAUAUCCGUGAAAAUUCUUAUUUUCCUUCUGUAGUAUUGAGUUUUUGCUGGGAAGUGGCUGCCUAGCUAGCAACUGUAUACUACUCUUGCAACACCAUGGGUUGUGUGAGCAGUUGUUGCUUGUGGAAUUUGAGUGGCAGUGGUAUACACUGCAUCACUACUGGGCCAGUGUAUUUACAAAAUGUGUAGAUGUGCCGCCCCUAUGCUCUUUUCUCCCACUUUGUCAAAUAUAUGUGGAGGAGCUCCGAGACUUCAUGAGGUGAAGCAACAAAGGGGAAUAAUUGUAAGUCCUUGAAUCACCACACAUUGGAAAACCACUUACAUAGGGAUGAUUAACACAGGAAUCAGAGUGUGACACAUGUAAGAAACGAACUUCUAUGAUGUGAAAAGACUAACAUGUAAACGUUAACUUAUUAUUUGUUAGUCAACUGUUUAAAUGUUUUAUAAGUGAUUUAAUAAAAUUCAUAUCAUGUUGACCACCUACAUGAAGAGCAAAAUUCUGAUUUUUCUAUGGGUUUCCUAUGAUAUUCUGAUAUGUAUGUAUUUUUUAAUUAAGGCUUAGAGUCAAUUUUAACCUCAUUACAUUCUUUCAUCCAUAUUUGAAAACUUUACAUUCUAUGAAGUUCUCUUAUUAAACCCAAUUAAUUUCUGUGGGUUUGAAACUUAAUUAUUGAAGCCAGAAAAUGCAUUGCAGAAGCUAUUAUAAUUCAAGAUAUAUUUUUUUGUACAUGAUGGUCAUAAUGAAUAUUUACAAUUUAAAAACAAAUUAAAAGGAAGGAUGCUCUAGUAAUUGAUCUUCUACUACUUUUUCUGGUGGCCAGUAUUCUGUUAAUGUAAGUUGAACCUCUUUCAAUUGACAUUUCCCCGAAGUCAUAUUAUCUGUGAUUUUAGUUGUGACAUUAUGAUCAGAAACAAUAGCUAUUUUAUUUAUACAAAUGCUUAUAAUUUGAUUUUAAAACUUCUGUAACCCUAUUAUUAAAAGUAAGAUGGAUACAAUUUAAACUGCAAAAGUUGCACUAGUACCAUGUAUCUCAGUUUCCCUAAUAUUUGAAAAAUAAAAGUAGAGAAAUAAUCUGAUCUACUUUAUUAUAUACUUAGAUCCUUGAAUGCAAGGGUACAUAUAUGUAUACACUUCACACAUAUAUACACAUAAAUAUGUCCACAGAUGUAUUUUUAAUCUUCUAUUUGACUUAUAGAGAUUGUAAAUAGUUUAUUUGCCCAAUUAGACCCCAUUUAUAUACUUUUUCCGUUUUCAAAGCUAGCUGUGGACUCAUAUAUGACCCUUGACAUAUGUGUGUCUGUGUUAUGUGUUUAUGUGUCUGCAUACAUGGUUGUUCAUUUGUAGAUAGAAAAGGAUAGAUAAGGCCCCUUACUCAACAUGUCUGAGUGCUCAUACUUCCUGAAGACACUUGUUAUAGAGUAGAGAAAAACACCAAUCUCUGUCUUAAAAUAUCUUAAAGUAUUGAAAUAUUUUUCUUUGAAAAUAAUUAGUGCUCAUCUUAAAGGCAUGGUGAUACUGGUUUUUGCACUAAAAACUA